GACGAACGCUGGCGGCGUGCUUAACACAUGCAAGUCGAACGCUGAAGCUCAGCUUUUGUUGGGUGGAUGAGUGGCGAACGGGUGAGUAACACGUGAGUAACCUGCCUCCUUCUUUGGGAUAACGCCCGGAAACGGGUGCUAAUACUGGAUAUUCACUGGUCUUCGCAUGGGGGUUGGUGGAAAGGGUUUUUCUGGUGGGGGAUGGGCUCGCGGCCUAUCAGCUUGUUGGUGGGGUGAUGGCCUACCAAGGCUUUGACGGGUAGCCGGCCUGAGAGGGUGACCGGUCACAUUGGGACUGAGAUACGGCCCAGACUCCUACGGGAGGCAGCAGUGGGGAAUAUUGCACAAUGGGCGCAAGCCGGAUGCAGCGACGCCGCGUGAGGGAUGGAGGCCUUCGGGUUGUGAACCUCUUUCGCUCAUGGUCAAGCCGCAACAAUGGUUGUGGUGAGGGUAGUGGGUAAAGAAACGCCGGCUAACUACGU
rnacentral:rRNA from 1 species